rnacentral:rRNA from 1 species
GAGUUUGAUCGUGGCUCAGAACGAACGCUGGCGGCAGGCUUAACACAUGCAAGUCGAACGCGUGUAGCAAUACACGAGUGGCGCACGGGUGAGUAACGCGUGGAUAUCUGCCUUUUGGUUCGGAAUAACCCCGGGAACUGGGGCUAAUACCGGAUGGUUCCUUCGGGAUAAAGAUUUAUCGCCAAAAGAUGAGCCCGCGUACGAUUAGCUAGUUGGUGAGGUAAUGGCUCACCAAGGCGACGAUCGUUAGCUGGUCUGAGAGGACGAUCAGCCACACUGGGACUGAGACACGGCCCAGACUCCUACGGGAGGCAGCAGUGGGGAAUAUUGGACAAUGGGGGGCAACCCUGAUCCAGCCAUGCCGCGUGAGUGAUGAAGGCCUUCGGGUUGUAAAGCUCUUUUGGUCGGGGACGAUGAUGACGGUACCCGCAGAAUAAGCCCCGGCUAACUUCGUGCCAGCAGCCGCCGUAAC